AAAUUUGCAGCUAUAAACUUACCAUGAUCAUGAAGCUAGUUUUCCAGGGUGAGGCUCAUCCUUUGCACUCAAGAUGUGUUGACCCCUGCAAUUUCCCCAAUGUGGGAAACUUGACUGCAUAUUUGUGGUAGUGGGGUACUGUGUUCGCCCUCUCCUCUG
ensembl:snRNA U1 U1 spliceosomal RNA